rnacentral:rRNA from 1 species
UAUUAGCAGCUGGUUCCUGCGGCGGGGUGGAUAUAAAGUGAAACCGCGAAUGGCUCAUUAAAUCAGUUACGGUUCCUCGGAUAUUCUUUUUUACAUGGAUAACUGUGGUAAUUCUAGAGCUAAUACAUGAACAAGUGUUCCAACCUCAGCUUGCUGACGGAAGGAUCGCUGUUUAGGUGGUGCAGAUUUGGACUUUGGCUUGGCAGCAAUUUGUGCAAAAGUUGGUGUCUAAGGACUAGCAGUGGGGAUCUUAGCAACUUCGGUUGCAUUUCUUGUGAUGACUCUGAAUAACUGAGCAAAUCGUAUGGCCUCUGAGCCGACGAUGUAUCCCUCAAGCAACUGCCUUAUCAACUGUCGAUGGUAGGUUAUGCGCCUACCAUGGUUGUAACGGGUAACGGGGAAUUAGGGUUCGAUUCCGGAGAGGGAGCUGAGAAACGGCUACCACAUCUAAGGAAGGCAGCAGGCGCGCAAAUUACACAAUCCCAGUACGGGGAUGUAGUGACGAAAAAUAACAAUACGGGACUCUAUUGAGGCCCCGUAAUUGGAAUGAGUACAAUUUAAAUCCUUUAACGAGGAUCUAUUGGAGGGCAAGUCUGGUGCCAGCAGCCGCGGUAAUUCCAGCUCCAAUAGCGUAUAUUA